AUUGAACGCUGGCGGCAGGCUUAACACAUGCGAGUCGAGCGGAGCGAGGGUGCUUGCACCUUAGCUUAGCGGCGGACGGGUGAGUAAUGCUUAGGAAUCUGCCUAUUAGUGGGGGACAACAUUCCGAAAGGAAUGCUAAUACCGCAUACGCCCUACGGGGGAAAGCAGGGGAUCUUCGGACCUUGCGCUAAUAGAUGAGCCUAAGUCGGAUUAGCUAGUUGGUGGGGUAAAGGCCUACCAAGGCGACGAUCUGUAGCGGGUCUGAGAGGAUGAUCGGCCACACUGGGACUGAGACACGGCCCAGACUCCUACGGGAGGCAGAAGUGGGGAAUAUUGGACAAUAGGCGGAAGCCUGAUCCAGCCAUGCCGCGUGUGUGAAGAAGGCCUUUUGGUUGUAAAGCACUUUAAGCGAGGAGGAGGCUACUUAGAUUAAUACUCUGGGAUAGUGGACGUUACUCGCAGAAUAAGCACCGGCUAACUCUGUGCCAGCAGCCGCCGUAAUAC
rnacentral:rRNA from 1 species